UACGUAGGGGGCAAGCGUUGUCCGGAAUUAUUGGGCGUAAAGCGCGUGUAGGCGGCUCGGUAAGUCUGCUGUGAAAGUCCAGGGCUCAACCCUGGAAUGCCGGUGGAAACUGUCGGGCUAGAGUCCGGAAGAGGCGAGUGGAAUUCCUGGUGUAGCGGUGAAAUGCGCAGAUAUCAGGAGGAACACCGAUGGCGAAGGCAGCUCGCUGGGACGGUACUGACGCUGAGACGCGAAAGCGUGGGGAGCAAACAGG
rnacentral:rRNA from 1 species